rnacentral:lncRNA from 1 species
CAGCUGCACCAUUCCCACUGGUCACCAAGGUCCUAACCAGCAUACUUCUGUGUUCAGGAAGUCCUGCUCUCAUCUGUUCAGUCUGGCCCUUGUACAAUCAGGCAUUCAUCCCUGCUAAACUCUCAUUCUUCAGGGCUACCAGAUGAAUAUCCAGCUGCUUCCAUCCCUUUGAAGGAAAGGAACACAAACCUGCAGCCUUAGCUCCCACCCGUGCUACAGAAGGGGUUCAGCAUUCAGUCUGGUAAACAUUGACUACUUAUUUAACUUCCUGUAACAAGGAGUACAAAAACACUAUUUUGCAUGUAGACCCCAUUCAGUGGUUUCUGGAAGACCCUUUUGAAAUUCUCCUGGAUGCUGCUUGAGAAAUCUGGGCUUCUCACACAGGAGCUGAACUAUGCUCUAGAUUAAGUCUGGGAGCUGACAACUUGUGAAAUGUUAGUCAUCUUGUGAACUCCAUGCAUGUGUAUGUGCCAGGACUGUAUUACGUGCUGACAUCCUAAUGGCAGCAGGGAUAUGGCGAAGAA